CCAGCAGCCGCGGUAAUUCCAGCUCCAAUAGCGUAUAUUUAAGUUGUUGCAGUUAAAAAGCUCGUAGUUGGAUUUCGGGUAUGUUGGCUAGGUCCGCCUCUGGUGUGCACUUGGUCGAUGUACCUUCCUGCCGGGGACGGGCUCCUGGGCUUAACUGUCUGGGACUCGGAGUCGGCGAGGUUACUUUGAGUAAAUUAGAGUGUUCAAAGCAAGCCUACGCUCUGAAUACGUUAGCAUGGAAUAACGCGAUAGGACUCUGGCCUAUCCGUUGGUCUGUGGGACCGGAGUAAUGAUUAAGAGGGACAGUCGGGGGCAUUCGUAUUCCGUUGUCAGAGGUGAAAUUCUUGGAUUUACGGAAGACGAACUUCUGCGAAAGCAUUUGCCAAGGAU
rnacentral:rRNA from 1 species